UGGGGAAGUAUUGCACAAUGGGCGCAAGCCUGAUGCAGCCAUGCCGCGUGUAUGAAGAAGGCCUUCGGGUUGUAAAGUACUUUCAGCGAGGAGGAAGGUGUUGUGGUUAAUAACCACAGCAAUUGACGUUACUCGCAGAAGAAGCACCGGCUAACUCCGUGCCAGCAGCCGCGGUAAUACGGAGGGUGCAAGCGUUAAUCGGGAAUUACUGGGCGUAAAGCGCACGCAGGCGGUUUGUUAAGUCAGAUGUGAAAUCCCCGGGCUCAACCUGGGAACUGCAUUUGAAACUGGCAAGCUUGAGUCUCGUAGAGGGGGUGAGAAUUAUCCAGGUGGUAGCGGUGAAAUGCGUAGAGAUCUGGAGGAAUACCGGUGGCGAAGGCGGCCCCCUGGACGAAGACUGACGCUCAGGUGCGAAAGCGUGGGGGAGCAAACA
rnacentral:rRNA from 1 species